rnacentral:rRNA from 1 species
GAUGAACGCUGGCGGCGUGCCUAAUACAUGCAAGUCGAGCGAACAGACGAGGAGUUUGCUCCUCUGACGUUAGCGGCGGACGGGUGAGUAACACGUCCAUAACCUACCUAUAAGACUGGGAUAACUUCGGGAAACCGUCGCUAAUACCCGAGAAUAUAUUCAACCGCAUGGAUCAAUAGUGAAAGACGGUUUUGCUGUUACUUAUAGAUGGAUCCGCGCCGCAUUAGCUAGUUGGUAAGGUAACGGCUUACCAAGGCAACGAUGCGUAGCCGACCUGAGAGGGUGAUCGCCCACACUGGAACUGAGACACGGUCCAGACUCCUACGGGAGGCAGCAGUAGGGAAUCUGCCGCAAUGGGCGAGAGCCUGACCGAGCAACGCCGCGGGAGUGAAGAAGAUGUUCGGGCUGUAAAACUCUGUAAUUAGGGAAGAACAAAUGUGUAAGUAGCUGUUGACGUCUUGACGGUACCUAGUCAGAAAGCCACGGCUAACUACGUG